rnacentral:rRNA from 1 species
GACGAACCGUGCGAACGUUAUUCGGAAUCACUGGGCUUAAAGCGCGUGUAGGCGGGCCAUCACGUCGGUCGUUAAAAGCCCCCGGCUCAACCGGGGAACCGGCGCCGAUACGAGUGGCCUGGAGGGGGGUAGGGGGACCUGGAACUUCCGGUGGAGCGGUGAGAUGCGUUGAGAUCGGAAGGAACGCCCGUGGCGAAAGCGAGGUCCUGGACCCCAUCUGACGCUGAGACGCGAAAGCCAGGGGAGCGAACGGG